rnacentral:rRNA from 1 species
AUUGAACGCUGGCGGCAUGUCUUACACAUGCAAGUCGAACGGCAGCACGGGAGCAAUCCUGGUGGCGAGUGGCGAACGGGUGAGUAAUAUAUCGGAACGUGCCCAGUCGUGGGGGAUAACGCAGCGAAAGCUGUGCUAAUACCGCAUACGAUCUAAGGAUGAAAGCGGGGGAUCGCAAGACCUCGCGCGAUUGGAGCGGCCGAUAUCAGAUUAGCCAGUUGGUGGGGUAAAGGCCCACCAAGGCGGCGAUCUGUAGCUGGUCUGAGAGGACGACCAGCCACACUGGAACUGAGACACGGUCCAGACUCCGACGGGAGGCAGAAGUGGGGAAUUUUGGACGACGGGCGCAAGACUGAUCCAGCAAUGCCGCGUGCAGGAUGAAGGCCUUCGGGUUGUAAACUGCUUUUGUACGGAACGAAACGGCCCUUUCUAAUACAGGGGGCUAAUGACGGUACCGUAAGAAUAAGCACCGGCUAACUACGUGCCAGCCGCCGCUGUAA